ensembl:lncRNA LINC00683 long intergenic non-protein coding RNA 683
ACAGGCCGCUUUUUUGUUCUCCCUCGGCCUUGGAGGGCCUGGGACGUUCCUGUUGCCCAACAUCCUGGUGAGCUGAGAACAUUCUGUAGAUUAAUUAGGUUCUCUCCUCUGGCUCAGCAGGUCUGUUCUAGCCAUUUGACCAAAGGCUCUCUGAUAUUUUCUACCAGCCUUAGAACGACAGUCUGCAGAUGUGUGCACAUAAAUGUCUGGGAGGAGCACACAGAUACUGUGGGAGGAGUGGGUCCGGCGUAGCUAUUGGGAGAUCUCGCUCGUACACAUGGCGCUACAUAGAAAGAAUGCCCUGAGGUGAAGGUGACAGCUCGGCAGUUUCUUAAUACCCUGAACUUGAGCGUGGCCUGCGCUAGAGAAAAUACACGGUGCUUCUUAAAAACAAAAGCCAGCAGCCUGCAAGAGGGCUGUGCCUGCGAGUUCCUGGGAGCAGGAGGGGGCUGUUCCUCCGCCCCUGGCUCCAGUUUCACCCAAGUCACUUCACAGCAGUUGGAAGGAGGUCACCAAUUAGUACACCAGUCAUCAUAAGAAGAAAAAUUCACAUUUAAAGUUUGGAAAGCAACAGGACAAAGGUCUGUCUUCAGUGGUGCGUAGACAUGCUCGUGAUUGAAUUGGAAAUAGUUCUCUUUCCUUCUCUCUGACUUCCUAACUGAAAAGCUGCAGCGUGGGGAGAAAGGCUGCUCAGAAGCCUGGAGCCAGAACACGCACCCCGGCUUUUGCAGGGCCGGCUCACUUGGUUAGAAUCAAAGGAAAAGCCUUGUUAUUUGGGAAGCUGGGCGUCCUCACCAAAUUAGGGGAUUUAAUUUGCAGAUAUCUAAGGAGUGCUUUGAAAUGAAAGAUGAACUAAAAUCUGCUCUGAGGCCCGUGAUUUUUCACCAGUGAAGGACUCUCUUGCUGCUGGACAUACAUGAAAAGCAUCAUCUGAUCUGAAACGCAAGUCCCUGCAAGACAGAGGAGAGACUUUAUAAACAUUUUAUACCAUUCUAUGAAAUCAAUUCGAUUCAGGGCUAGAAUUCAAGAAGUAAUCCAUGGGCAAGUAUAUCUGAUGGUAAACCCAAACGAUUAUAUUGUUAACCUCUUGUACUUUUUUUAAUUUUUUAUUAUUUGAUAUUAUUAUCACAAAAGUCGCUGGAACAGGAUCCAUGAGCUGCUUCUUCACUGCUUAGUGUUUUCAGAAGCUGAUGGAUUAUUAAGCUCCAAUUGAAUACUUGAUUUCCAAUGAUUCCAUUAAUUUUUCUGGUUUGUGGUAGGAUUUGAUUUACUUAUUUUGUACUUUAACACACCAAUAAAAAAUAGAUACUAAGAAA